AUUGAACGCUGGCGGCAUGCUUUACACAUGCAAGUCGAACGGCAGCACGGGUGCUUGCACCUGGUGGCGAGUGGCGGACGGGUGAGUAAUACAUCGGAACGUGUCCAGAAGAGGGGGAUAACGCAUCGAAAGAUGUGCUAAUACCGCAUAUGCUCUGAGGAGGAAAGUAGGGGAUCGAAAGACCUUACGCUUUUGGAGCGGCCGAUGUCUGAUUAGCUAGUUGGUGGGGUAAGGGCCUACCAAGGCGACGAUCAGUAGUUGGUCUGAGAGGACGACCAGCCACACUGGGACUGAGACACGGCCCAGACUCCUACGGGAGGCAGCAGUGGGGAAUUUUGGACAAUGGGCGCAAGCCUGAUCCAGCAAUGCCGCGUGAGUGAAGAAGGCC
rnacentral:rRNA from 1 species